rnacentral:rRNA from 1 species
AUUGAACGCUGGCGGCAGGCUUAACACAUGCAAGUCGAGCGGGGGAAGGUAGCUUGCUACCGGACCUAGCGGCGGACGGGUGAGUAAUGCUUAGGAAUCUGCCUAUUAGUUGGGGACAACAUCUCGAAAGGGAUGCUAAUACCGCAUACGUCCUACGGGAGAAAGCAGGGGAUCUUCGGACCUUGCGCUAAGAGAUGAGCCUAAGUCGGAUUAGCUAGUUGGUGGGGUAAAGGCCUACCAAGGCGACGAUCUGUAGCGGGUCUGAGAGGAUGGUCCGCCACACUGGGACUGAGACACGGCCCAGACUCCUACGGGAGGCAGCAGUGGGGAAUAUUGGACAAUGGGGGGAACCCUGAUCCAGCCAUGCCGCGUGUGUGAAGAAGGCCUUAUGGUUGUAAAGCACUUUAAGCGAGGAGGAGGCUACUUUAGUUAAUACCUAGAGAUAGUGGACGUUACUCGCAGAAUAAGCACCGGCUAACUCUGUGCCAGCCGCCGCGGUAA